rnacentral:lncRNA from 1 species
CAGGGACCUGUUUCUAUCCUGCCUGCAUCGCCUGAUGCUGGUGGCCUUGCUGGUACUGCUGCUAACCUGGAAGCUGUUGCAGAAAGCCCAUCACUCCAGUCUGGGCUGGCUGCACAGCCAGAGUUCUAUGCUCCUGGAAGCCCUGGCUUUGCUGAGACGCCUCUACCUGUGGGUGGAGCACAGGACCACACUCACUUCCUGGAACCUGGCCUAUCUUGUCACUUGGACUACCUGUCUCGCUUCCCACCUGCUUCAAGCUGCCUUUGAGCACACAGCCCAACUGGCCCAGGCCCAGGAGGUCUCAUUCGAGGAGACCUCAGAGCCCUCAUCUCAGUUCUUAAUUCCAGAAUCCUCCACCACCGAGUCUGGACCCCUCCCUUCCCAGCCUGAAACCCCCGGAGAAUAAAUGUGUCCCCCACCUGCC